rnacentral:rRNA from 1 species
UACAGAGGUCUCAAGCGUUGUUCGGAUUCAUUGGGCGUAAAGGGCGCGUAGGCGGCGGGGUAAGUCGGGUGUGAAAUCUCAGAGCUCAACUCUGAAACUGCACUCGACACUGCUCUGCUUGAGGACUGGAGAGGAGACUGGAAUUCACGGUGUAGCAGUGAAAUGCGUAGAUAUCGUGAGGAAGACCAGUGGCGAAGGCGGGUCUCUGGACAGUUCCUGACGCUGAGGCGCGAAGGCCAGGGGAGCAAACGGG